rnacentral:lncRNA from 1 species
UCUGUCCACAAGACACAGUGUCUGACCACACUCAAAGGUGCAAGUGUUAAGUUAUGCUGAUAUGAUGACUCAGUGCUACACUUUGUGGAAGGUUGGUUGACCAUCAUCACAAUUCCAUUCCACUAUUUUGGGCUUCAUAUGGAAUCCUCCCUAUACAGAGAAGUAACAAGCUGACCAGACAGGCCCAUGUUUUUCUGGUUGGCUCACCAAGAAAAUCACGCUUGACACCAUGGCAACCAGUACAGACCCAUUGAUGACAUUGUCAUAACUCACUCAUAUGGCAAUAGCUGGAAACUGGCAAACCAAGAAAAUAACACCCUGCUCAUGGCAUGCAUCUGCAAUUGGUUCCUGUACCACUUCUGCAACAUCUACUUCUGCACAGGGCGGUCCGGGCAUGCGAGCAAGCGUGACGGAUCCUGCCCCUGAGGCACCUGGGGGGCCAAACAAGGCAGCGGUGGUGGGGGCUGAGCGUUGCGUGGAAGCGAGCCGCGCCGUUGAGGACCUCUACCACCGAAGCUGCGAGGGCCUCGAUUGGGACCAGCAGCAGCGGAGGACCUCUUUGCGGCAAGAGAUUGCAACCGCACUGCCCUGGUCCAACACGACAUCAACACCGGCGAUGCUCGGCCCAUCCGCAUCCCACCGGGAUGCCAAGCGGACCGCCGCCGAGGAAAAGAUUUGGGAGAUGGCUGCAGUGGGGGUGAUUGAGCCCUCCGCGAGCCCGUGGUCGGCGCCAGCUGUACUGGUCCAAAAAAAAGAUGGCUCGUGGAGGUUAUGUGUGAACUACCG